rnacentral:sRNA from 1 species
AUCUCUCCCUACUGCCUCUGCUGUUGAACACACGUGUCCUUCUCGCCAUCCUGAAGACAGGAACCACCCGAAGAGAGGUGCCUGGGGAACAGACUCCCCUUAAAACUUGGCAAGGAGACCUUGGGGACCCUGUCACAAGAACCUCAAAGACUAGUUGACAGAAAACCCACUCCCACCUGUGGAGACUGAAGACAGCGGCUGAGAGGGUGUGUGAAACGCUGGAGGGAGCCGUUGGAGCAGUGGGUUCGACGCUAGGUCCGGCCUUAUGUGAGCUCUGGGGAUUCAAACUCGGGUCCUCAUGCUUGUGUGGCAAGUGCUUUAUCCACUGAGCCGUCUUCCAUCUUUCUCUAUUCUCUGGAGAGCUAAUGAACCCAGGUGGGAGGAUUGCCUGCCCGGCCAUGGUGAAAUCUUGGAUGAAAAGGGGAGCCCAGCAGCUUGGGAAAGGGAGUGGGUCCUCCCUUCAGGCACACAGCUUUGCUAAUCAGUUUCAUCGCAGGCUCCCUGUCCAGGCCUUCAACGGACUCCUUGCCGCCAACCACACUCAGCUUUGCCUCCUUGACCUGCCUUACCUGGCUCUUCA